UCUGUCAAGUUUGUUCUACGAAUUGCAUUAAGGUGGGCUUGAAAACAAGAGAGAGUCAACGACAUCAGAGUAAAAGAGAUAAAUAUAUAAUGUUGCCACCAAAAAUACAAUUUCGUAUUCUCCCUAAUAAUGAGCGUAUAAAUUGAUUUUUAAAGUAAAUUACCCUUGAAGAUACUUUUAGCUAUUAUUCUAAUGCCAAAAAAUAUACUUAGUUGAGAAAUAUUAGAUAUAAAAUUUAAUAUUACUUAUUAGAAAAUAUAUAUGGGGGAUUAUGUGUGGCAACACUAAUGUCCGGACGCCAUAUUGGUUUUGACAUUGUUGACGUCACAAGAAAAAUGUCUGCGGCCGGUUGCGCACCAUUUUAUCUUGUACUAAUGUUUAUUUGUAAUAAAUAAACUACUUCCAUUUAAUUCUACAUACAUUGAUAACGUUGAGUCGAGCUUGCUCCUCCGUUGCUGUGUUUUGGUGAAAUUAAGUGUGUAUUUGUGAGAUAUAGACUCGGUGUUGAGACAGUGACUUGUUUGAUUUUGUUUUGUGUUUAAUUCGCGAUGAGUUCACAAAAAGAAAACACAAGAAUCUGCUGCUUGUGUGGAUCUUCACCUUCUAAAGAUCCCAGCAUCACUUUGCAUCGGUUUCCAAAGCCUGGCACUAAAAAUGCUCUGCGUUGUGAAUUAUGGGCAAAGUAUUGCUUCCCAAACGAAGCCUGGUCUUCACCAAAAUUCCAGGACGCACUCCAUAAACAACAUAAGAUGCUAUGCAGCAAACAUUUCAAAAGCACAUGCUUUAAUGAGAAGAAGUUGUUCAGAACAGCUGUACCUGAUGUUCAAAA